GGGAAUGUGGCUUAGUGGUAGAGUGCUUGCUUAGCAUGCAAGAAGCCCUGGGUUCAAUACCUCAGUACCA
rnacentral:tRNA from 1 species